rnacentral:lncRNA from 1 species
CUGAUAUUACAAUUCUUUUUUAGUUGCCAAAUGUGUGGGUUUUUCUCCAUACUGACUCAUUCUCUGAUGCCAGAUUGGUGUCCUGCAUUUCAGUUCAAUUCUGAUACUUUCCACCUGGAGUUAGCAACAGAUCCCACAAAUAAGGGCUCAGUCCAUAAGAAGACCCCUAUUUUAGUUGCUAGUCACAAGUCCAAAUCACCUGUAUUUCUGAGUCCCCAUAUAUCAAGAGUUCCCACAAUCCCCUUCUCAGAUAACUUACUAGAACAACUCACAAGCUCAGGAAAACAGCCUACUCACUAUCACGGAUUUAUUAUGAAAAACACAACUCAGGAAUGGCCAAAUGAAAGAGAUGCAUAGGACAAGGUAUUAGGGCUGGUAGGUAGCAUGAAGCUUCCAUGACCUCUUCAUUGCAUGCCACCACCGAAUCCUGUCGUUUAAUUUUUAGAAGGGUCCGUUAAAUAGGAAAUUUUUUUUUCUUGGCAGGGGGGUGUGCACUUGGCAUCUGGAAGUUUCCAGGCCAUGGAUUGUAACCAGAGCCACAGCAGUGACAACACCAGAUCCUUAAUCCACUGAGCCACCAGGGAACUCCAUGUAGGAAUGUCUGAUUAUAUCAUUGACUAUUGAUGAUUAACUCCACUCCAGCUCCUCUCCCCUUCCUCAUAGGUUGAAGGUGGGGAUGAAAAUUCAACCUUCUAGUCACGCCUUGGUCUUUCUGGUGACAAACCCCUAACCGGAAGCUAUCUAGGGUCCCCCAGUCACCUGUCUUCUUGUUAGCAUACAGAAAUACACUUAUAUCUCUAGAGAUUUCAAAGGUCUCAAAAGCUCUUAUGUCAGGAAUCUAGGUCAAGGACCAACUAUCAGAACAAAAGAUGCUCCUAGCAUUCUAUUACUUAGGAAAUUAAAGGGGUUUUAGGAGCUCUGUGUCAGGAACUGGAAGUAGAGACCAAAUACAUAUUUCUUAUUAUGUCACACUAGCAUUAUCACAGUUUUGGAGAAAUUAAGCAUAGAAAAACGGCUGGAUGGUAGUAAAUCAAAAUAUUAACAGUGUGGUGAUUUUAAUUUUCCCUUAAUGCUGUGUUAUUCCAUUUUAAUUUACAAUGUACACUUUAUAAUUUUAUAAUGAAAAUAAAAGACAUUAGUGAAUUGUAAUUAAUUCAAUACUAGAUUUGUGUGAAGUAUUAUCUACAGAUCUUACUCAACUUGUGAUGGGGCUAAGUCCUGAUAAAGCCAUCAUAAAUUGAAAAAAGCAUAAGUAAAAAUGCAUUUAAUAUACAUAACCUACUGAACACUAUAGCUGAGCCUGUCCUACCAUCAAUGUAGAACACUUGCAUUCGCCAAUAGUUGGGUAAAGUCAUCUAACAUAAAGCCUAUUUUAUAAAAUGUGUUGAAUAGCUCAUGUAAUUUGUUGAAUACUCUACUAAAAGUGAAAACCAGAAUGCAUGUGUGUAUCAAUUAUUUACCCUCCUGGCUGCAUGGCUGACUUGGAGCUGCUGCUGUGCCCAGCAUCACUAAAAAGGGUCACCCCGCAUAUGGCUAGCCUGAGAAAAGAUCAGAAUUCACAAUUCAAAGUACAAUUCUACUGAAUUCAUAUCACAUUUGCAUAAUCAUAACAUUGGUAAAUUGUAAUUCAGAACCAAUAUAAGUCAGGGACCAUCUGUAUCUUGAAGUGGAAGAACAACUUUUACAAGAACUACUGAAAAAUAUUACAAACAAUAUACUUGACUAUAUAAAAUGAAAAACUUUAUCAGGUAAAAUAAUCAAUGAUAAAGUGAAAAGAUAAAAACAGAAUAUUUUUUCAAGUUAUUUAAUACAUUAGGCAUAAAGGCAUGUUAUUAAAAAAUGCAAAAACCUCAAUGGGAGAAAAUAAGUACAUGUGAUACAGUACAUAGUAAUUUAAAUUAUUUAUAUAGGAAAGGCUCUCGCAGAAACCUAGGAUGUGAUAAUUUCUUCAUGAGGAAAGUGAAGAUCAUAAAAGGUUAAGUUAGGAGUUCCUGCUGUGGCACAAAGGGAUUGGCAGCAUCUCUGAACAACCAGGACACAGGUUUGAUCCCUGGCCUGGCACAGUGUUAAAGGAUCUGGCAUUGUGGCAGCUGCCUUGUAGGUGGAAACUGAAGCACAGAUAUAAUCCCUGGCCCAGUAACUCCAUAUGGGGCGGCCAUAAAAGAAAAAAAUCACUUGCUUACAUGAAAAAGAACAAAGUUGAGACAUCCUUUUAACUUUGGACUCAGACCUCAAGCCCUCUCAUGCUGGUGCCUGAGGACAACCAGGGGCACUCACGUAUAUACAUAUGACUUUUUGUGGCUCACCCCUCCCAAACGAGUUCUUGACAUUAGAAUGAGAGGUGUUCUCCCUUUUCCGGAUACUAGACGCUCAUUAAAUUUAAAUUAAACUGUAUAACUUAGCUAUUGCUUAGUUCUAAAUAGAGCACACUUCUUUCAUUGUUUUUAAAGUUAACAAAGUAAUUACUCGUUCAUCUUCGUUAAAGUAAAAUAUAUUUUAAGCUGCUCUUCAGUCUAAUUAAAGAGCAUGUCUUAUGACAGUGAAUAUUUUGCUUAAUCAACUACUUAAUCUAGAAUAAACAGUAAGUAUUUUUGAUGACUUUCAUACAUUAAUCUGUGAAGUUGUCCUCUUUAUGUAUUCGAAUAUAAAUACUAUGCUCAGGCUUUAAACAUUUCUUGCUGUGAUAUUCCUGACUUCACCCCCCCCAUUGUUUAUGAUAGAUGUAAUCAUAAUCUCAAAGCACAUUUUCCUGCUAAAAACUUUGACUUAUUUCUUAGCAUUCUCUACAUACAAACUAGAAAUCAACAGGUAUCUUACAUUUUCCUCACUGUAGCAUUGUUUCUACCACAGUUAAAAAAAAUUGCCAUUAUAAUCUAAAUAAAAUAUAUGGCUAGCUUGUUUCAAUUUUAAACAAUGUUAAAAAAAUGAUUUUUUUAAAUGCGUAAUUGUUCCGGGGGAAAAAAAAAAAAACAACCCACAAUAAGCAGAAAUGAGUAUAAUUGCCAUUCCCAUAAUCAAUGAUUUAUAUGGUUUCCUUCCCAAAUUCCCAGAAAUGUGUUAUCACACAUUAUCAUUAGCAGCAGAAGCCCCUGUGUGGGCAUAAUAGACUCUCCAGGAGGUGGUUUCUUACUUAACUGUUUCCUAGCUGAUUCUGAUAAGCUUCCCUCCCAGAGGACAGGGGCACCUGUACAUAGUGCUUUUCAAACUUGAACAUGAACAAAUUGUGGCUCUUGUUAUAACGUAGAUUCUGGUUCAGUAGGUUUGGGGUGGGGCCUGAGAUUCUGCAUUUCCAAAGAGCUCCUGGGAAAUGCCAAUGCUGCUGGUCUACAGACCAUACUUUUCAGGACAAGGUUUUAACUACUUCUCAGCUCCUAAUUGCCAAUAGACACUGCACAUUUGUGAACCCAAUUAUGGGUUUGAUGCAUUUGUCUUUAUCUUGUCUGUGAUUGGGUUCUGUUCUGCUUUUAGAGAAUUUCCUCCAAUCAAAGGGGGAAAUUAAAGAAUUUAUAGAUCUAUUUGCCACAAUUAUAAAACUAGUGUUUCCUGAAAAUCUCUUUCCUAUAAUUAGAAAAUCAGGAAUGAUGGCAAGAAGAGAACUGGUCUCACAUGCUGAUCAGCUGUGGCAGUGAUAACUCCUGCAGAGACUCUAUGGUGGAACAAAUGAAGUCGUAGAAGAAUCCCUCUAACUCCCUGUGAACUUUUAUUCUUCAGUGGGACCUAAUCCCUAGAUACCUGGUACAUAGUGGUGCUGCUUCAUAUCUGCCUUAUUUUCUCUUGCUUGUCCUCCCUUCCCUUUCUUAAUUUCCCUUUAAAACCAGCUUUCAUGUUUCAACGUACAAAUUUUUCGGAUCACCUAUUUUGUGCAAAGUGGUCUAAGCACUGAAGAAAUAUGAAGGACCACAGUUUUAAAGCUAUUUAAUAUUUAUU